rnacentral:lncRNA from 1 species
AUUAGGAAGGUAAAGUAUGGGGAAGGAGUGGGGAAGGGUGCAUAGUGUCCCAGGCACACGGAACAGUAUCUACAAAAGCUCAAAGGGGCUCAGAGAGGAUUGAAACUGAUAGUCUGGCUGGAGAGUCAUGUACAAGGGGAUGGAAGGCUGAGAGAUGAGGCUGGCAAGGUUCAGUUGUCGGCACUGGAGAAAUCACACCAAGAAGGGUGCAGAGACCCAUUGCAAGUGACUUGGGAAGAGGAAAACUCAGUCAUGGGCAGACACCCAGUUAAAUGGAAAGCAGAGUUAAAGGAGGACAGCGGGAAGAAUGAGAUCUUGAAAAAUCCAUCAGCAAUUUCGGGACGAUAACAUGUGCACAGAUGAUAUUUUUUAAAAACCUGGGAGAAAGGAGUCAGUGGGAGACACAAUUUGAGAGCUACUGUGGCACUCUGGGGACCAAACUAAAGUGUUUGCACCACAUGCUGGGGUAAUUCAAUCACUCAGCAAGCACUGUUUGAGCACCUGUGUUUCUCUGGCCACACUAGUCUCCCUGCUGUUCCUUGUCCUCACCAGGCAUGCUUCCCUACUCUGCCUUUAAUCUGCAGGGGGAUUAUCAUAGCUCAUUGUAACCUUGAACUCCUGGGCUCAAGCGAUUCUCCCAUUUCAGCCUCCCCAAUAGAUGGGACUACAGGCCUGCACCACCAUGCCAGGCUAUUUUUUUUUCUAUUUUGGUAUAGGUGGGGUCUCACUAUGUUGCCCAGGAGGUCACUAUCUCCUGGGCUCAAGCCAUCCUCCCGCCUUGGCCUCCCAAAGUGCUAGUAUUACAAAUGUGAGCCACCACACCCAUCCAGAGUUCCCCUUUUUUUUGAGGGCUUCCCCCUACUCAGUAGCACCAUUGUCUUAGGUCAUUUUCUGUUGCUGUAACAUAUACCACAGAUUGGGUAAUUUAUAAAGAAAUUUAUUUCUUACAGUUCUGGAGGCUGUAAAGUCCACAUCUGGUGAGGGCCUUUUUGCUGGUGGGAACUCUCUGAAGAGUCCCCAGGUGGUGCAGAGCACCACAAGGUGAGGGGACUGAGUGUGUUAGCUCAGUUCUCUCAUCCUCAUCUUAUGAAGCUGCUAGUCCCAUUCCUGUAGCAACCCAUUAGUCCAUCAACCCAUGAAUCCAUGAAUGGAUUUAUCCAUUUAUGAGGGCAGAGCUCUCAUGACCCAAUCACCUCUUAAAGGCCCCAACUCUGAAUAUUGCUACAUUGGGGGUUGAACUUCAACAUAAGUUUUGGAGGGGACAAAUAUCCAAGCCCUAGCAACCAUUUAGCAAAUGCGUAAACAAGCUGCAAUUGUGGUGACAAGAGAAGGCACAUCACCCUGGAAAGGACCCUGUCUCAUUUUUCUUUGUUUUUAUUUUUUAUUUUUAUUAAGAUUAUUUUUUAGAGAUGUGGUCUCUCCAUGUUGCCCAGGCUGGCCUUGAACUCCUAGCCUCAAGUGAUCCUCCUGCCUUAGCCUCCCAAAGUGCUGGGAUUACAGGUGUGAGCCACCAAGUCCAGUUUAUCUCAUUCAUCAUUGUACCCCAGUGCUAGGCACAUAGUAAGCAUUGAGGAAAUGUUGAAUGAAUGAAUAUCAUUUUUAAGCACUGAGGAAACCUAUUUUUAAAAUAGUAAAUGUUAUUAUCACAACUUUGUAAAAAGUGCAUUUUAAAAUGUUUCUAAAAUCCACUAAUAAAUACCAACAGUAAGCCGGACAUGGUAGUGUGUCCGUAAUCCCAACUACUCAGGAAGCUGAGGCGAGGAGGAUCACUUCAGCUUAGGAGUUUAAGGCUGCAGUGAGCUGUGAUUGUGCCACUGCACCCCAGCCUGGCCAACAGAGCAAGACCCCGUCUUUAAAAAAAGUUGUAAAAAGAAAUACCAACAGCAGUUGAAUGGUGGAGUUCUGGGAAAUCUUUCGUUAUUUCCUUUUCUUUUCUCUUCCUUCCUUCCUUCCUUCCUUUCUCUUUCUUUCUUUCCUUUUUUUUUUUUUUUGACAGUGUCUUGCUGUCGCCCAGGCUGGAGUGCAGUAGUGCAAUCUUGGCUCGCUGCAACCUCUGCCUCCUGGGCUCAAGCACACCUCAACCUCCCUAGUAGCUGGGAUUCCAGGCGCAUGCCACCACGCCCAUCUAAUUUUUCUAUUUUUAGUAGAGAUGGGAUUUUGCCAUGUUGGCCAGGCUGGUCUUGAACUCCUGACCUCAAGUGAUCCACCUGCCUCGGCCUCCCAAAGUGCUGGGAUUACAGGCAUGAGCCACUGUACCUGGCCUUUUUCUUUCUUUUCUGUAUUUUUCCCAUUUUGUGUACUAUAGCAACAUUUUUAAUAAUGAAUAAAGUAUAUUUUAGUCCCAUCCACACCUUCCUUCCUCCCAAAAAAGGAAUUGUGAGAAUUACAAUUUACAACCUAAUAUUUUAAAAGUCUUGUGCCAUGUAAAGUGUAAAUGACGAAGACUGAGAAACCAUGACCUGAACUUUAUAAUGCAAUGAAAUAAAGUUUACCACACUCUGACGUGUCUGACAAUAUGCAUGAGGAUUGUGUAGCUGGGCAUGACCAACAAUUCUCAUAAAACACUGUGAUUGGUAUUACUUGAAACAGCCAAACUGGCCUCUGUCAGAUGCUUGGGGAAGGGAGGCGGGAACUGGAUGGGGUGUGUGUGGCUCUGUUGGCCUCAGAAGACCCCUGGAUCCAUAACCCAGGUAUGCCACUUUGCUGGCAGAGAAGGCCAGGACCUGGGAGCUCCGAGGACCUCCGGCUGACAGAUUUGCAGCCUCCAAGUGGGGCUGGUGCUGCACAGGCUUCACAAAGGAGCUUUUUACCACAACAGGAACGGCACGAACACCCCAAACUCUGCUUUCCUUCCCUUCCCAGCCUUCUAGAUAUGGAGAGUUCAUAAGGAUACUGCCUGAAAUGUCAUCAAUAAAAAUGUGUUGGGCAGCAGAACGAUUGCCUUUGAGAGGGCUAGAGGAGAGAAUAUUCAUUCACACAACAAAUGUUUAUUGAGAAUCUACUAUAUGCCAAGCAUAAGGGAGGUCCUGUGCAUACAUGGUGUCAUUUCCUUGCAUCAGCCUGAUGAAGAUGCUAUUAGACCCCACUAUACAGAUAAUGAAACAGGCUGGGAAAUGUUAAGUUAGUGACACUGAGUCACACAUUUAAGUAAGUGGUGGUAGUGGGGAGGGAGGUGGAAAGGGAGGGAGGAGGGACUCAAACACAGCCCCAUCAGAGGUGGAGAGCCUCUCUUCCCACAUUGCGCAUUGCACAACAGCAGAGGUUUCCAGACUUCAUGCUUACAGCCUUUGUGACCAUCAGCAGCUACUCUGGGUCUCGGUCUCCUUGUUUAUAAAAAUAAAGUGCUUGAAUGGCUCACACCUGCAAUCCCAGCACUUUGGGAGGCCAAGGCAGUCGGAUCACUUGAGGUCAGGAGUUUGAGACCAGCCUGGCCAACAUGGCAAACCCCACCUCUACUAAAAAUAGAAAAAUUAGCCAGGCGCGGUGGCGGGCACCUGUAAUCCCAGCUACUUGGGAGGCCGAGGCAGGAAAAUCGCUUGAACCUGGGAGGCAGAGGUGGCAGUGAGCCGAGAUCGCACCACUGCACUCCAGCCUGGGCGACAGAUCGAGACUCCAUCUCAAAAAAAAUAAUAAUAAAAUAAUAAAAUAAAGUGCUUGAGAAAAUACGUUUCCCAAGUGUCCCAGCGCUGGGUUCUUUGUCACAGUGUUUCCUCUUCUUGCCUUUUUCCCCACUGUGAUCCCUUUUCGGUGAUCCUCUUCUUGCCUUUGUAAAAGCUCUGCGGGACCAAUUCUCUCGGGCCUUCCGCGCAGAGCUCUCCCAGGGACUCCGGUCUCUCCCCAGCUCGCCCCCUAGGGGACACAGGUGGUGCUGCGUGAGUCCGGGCUCCCAGUGAGAGUCCAUGCAAUUGUCAGACCAAGUCAACAUAAUCACCGGUUUGAAUUCAACUUCAAUUGCUGCUUUACCUUUUAAAAAAACAUGGAUCUAGAAAAUAUUCAGCUCUUCCCACAUUCACCAGGGCAAUGCUGCUGAAACAUUUAAUGACGGGGAGUAUUUGUAGCCCGAAGACCUACUGUUUCUGUGAGUCAUAUUUAAAAAUGGGAUUACAUGUUUACUUCCUACACCUCAGUUUCUUUUAGGUCCUGUGAGACUACUGAUUGAUCCAAUGCUGAUUUUGCAGGGAUGCCAAACUGUGAUUAUAAAACAAUAUAUUUGUCUCUACUUGGUUAUUUUUAUUAAAAUAAUCAAUUUUUAUUAGGUAAUAUAUACAUGUGGCACAAUAUCCAAAAAUCACUAAGAGGUUUUCAGUAAUUAUCAUAUGACCCAGCAGUUGCACUCCUGGGGAUAUACCCAAAAGAACUGAAAAACAGGUGUUCAAACAAAAACUUGUAUACAAAUGUUCACAGCAGCACUUUGCAUGAUACCCAAAAGGCAGAAACAAACCAAAUGUCAUCAACUGACAAAUAAACAAAAUGUGGUUUCUCUAUACAAUGGAAUAUUAUUCAGCCAUAAAAGGGAAAGAAGUACUGAUACGUUCUACAAUAUGGAUGGACCUUGAAAGCAUUAUGCUAACUGAAAAAAGUCAGACAUAAAAGGCCACAUAUUAUAUCAUUUCAUUUGUAUGAAAUAUCUUGAAUAGGCAAAUCCGAAGAGACAGAAAGCACAUGAGUAGUUGCUGGGCCAGAGGUAGGAAGGAAUAGGAAGUACUAAUGAGCAUUGAGUCUCCUUUUGGGUGAUGAAAUGUUCUGAAACUGGAUGCUGGUGGUGGUUGCAUGACAUUAUGAAUGUACUGUAUCAUACACCUUAAAAUAGUUAAAAUAAUACAUUUUAUGUUAUGUGUAUUUUACCACAGUAAAACAAAUAGUACUCUAUCUUUCCAGAAAUGAUGAUGAUUAUUAUUAUUUUGAGAUGGAGUUUUGCUCUUGUUGCCCAGGCUGGAGUGCAAUGGCGUGAUCUCAGCUCACCACAACCUCUGCCUCCCGGGUUCAAGCGAUUCUCCUGCCUCAGCCUCCGGAGUAGCUGGGAUUACAGGCGUGCACCACCAUGCCCGGCUAAUUUUGUAUUUUUAGUAGAGACGGGGUUUCUCCAUGUUGGUCAGGCUGGUCUCAAACUCCCGACCUCAGGUGAUCCACCCGCCUCGGCCUCCCAAAGUGCUGGGAUUAUAGGUGUCAGCCACGCACCUGGACUGUAAUGAGUUUUAUUAGUUUGUUUUUUGUCUUUGUUUGUUUAUAGGUUUAUUCUUCAGAAAAUUUUAAAGUUUUGUUGUUGUUGUUGUUGUUG